rnacentral:rRNA from 1 species
AUUGAACGCUGGCGGCAGGCCUAACACAUGCAAGUCGAGCGGAUGAAGGGAGCUUGCUCCUGGAUUCAGCGGCGGACGGGUGAGUAAUGCCUAGGAAUCUGCCUGGUAGUGGGGGAUAACGUCCGGAAACGGGCGCUAAUACCGCAUACGUCCUGAGGGAGAAAGUGGGGGAUCUUCGGACCUCACGCUAUCAGAUGAGCCUAGGUCGGAUUAGCUAGUUGGUGGGGUAAAGGCCUACCAAGGCGACGAUCCGUAACUGGUCUGAGAGGAUGAUCAGUCACACUAGAACUGAGACACGGUCCAGACUCCUACGGGAGGCCGCAGUGGGGAAUAUUGGACAAUGGGCGAAAGCCUGAUCCAGCCAUGCCGCGUGUGUGAAGAAGGUCUUCGGAUUGUAAAGCACUUUAAGUUGGGAGGAAGGGCAGUAAGUUAAUACCUGGCUGUUUUGACGUUACCAACAGAAUAAGCACCGGCUAACUUCGUG